rnacentral:rRNA from 1 species
UGAGGAAUAUUGCGCAAUGGGCGAAAGCCAGACGCAGCAACGCCGCGUGGGCGAUGAAGGUCUUCGGAUCGUAAAGCCCUUUUCCAGAGGAAGAGGAAGGACAGUACUCUGGGAAUAAGUCUCGGCUAACUACGUGCCAGCAGCCGCGGUAAAACGUAGGAGGCGAGCGUUAUCCGGAUUUAUUGGGCGUAAAGCGCGUGUAGGCGGUGCUCUAAGUUGGAUGUGAAAUCUCCUGGCCUAACUGGGAGGGGUCAUUCAAUACUGGGGCACUUGAGGGCAGGAGAGGAAAGUGGAAUUCCCGGUGUAGCGGUGGAAUGCGUAGAUAUCGGGAGGAACACCAGUGGCGAAAGCGGCUUUCUGGUCUGCAUCUGACGCUGAUACGCGAAAGCUAGGGGAGCAAACGG